rnacentral:rRNA from 1 species
AGGGCGUACGGUGAAUGCCUUGGUGCCAACAGGCGAAGAAGGACGCGGCAAGCUGCGAAAAACCUCGGGAAGCUGCAAGCAAGCGAUGAUCCGGGGGUGUCCGAAUGGGGUAACCUGACUGGGGUAAUACCUGGUCGUUCAUACCUGAAUACAUAGGGUAUGAAACGCAAUACCCGCUGAAGUGAAACAUCUCAGUAAGCGGAGGAAAAGAAAGAGAAAUCGAUUCCGUAAGUAGUGGCGAGCGAAAGCGGAUGGAGCCCAAACCGAAGGUACUCCUUCGGGGUUGUAGGACCACGACAUAUUCGACCAUAGUGGAUAGUAGAACAGUCUGGAAAGGCUGGCCAUAGAAGGUGAAAGCCCUGUAGACGAAAUCCAGAGUGGGAAUUAGUGGUAUCCUGAGUAAUACAUCACACGUGGAACGAUGUAUGAAUCAGCGCGGACCACCGCGCAAGGCUAAAUACUAGUUGGCGACCGAUAGUGAACAAGUACCGCGAGGGAAAGGUGAAAAGAACCGCUGUGAGCGGAGUGAAAUAGAACCUGAAACCGUAUGUCUACAAAGUGUCAGAGCAGAGCAAUCUGCGAUGGCGUGCCUUUUGUUUAAUGAGUCUGCGAGUCAGUGUUUGUGGCAAGACUAAGGGCUUCCGGCCCGGAGUCGCAGCGAAAGCAAGUCCGAAUAGGGCGCAUUAAGUCGCAGGUACUGGACCCGAAGCGGAGGUGACCUACCCUUGGCCAGGUUGAAGCAUGGGUAAAACCAUGUGGAGGACCGAACAGGUGAACGUUGAAAAGUUCUCUGAUGAGCUGAGGGUAGGAGUGAAAGGCUAAUCAAACCCCGUGAUAGCUGGUUCUCUUCGAAAUGCAUUUAGGUGCAGCGUCACGUGCUGAUGCGCGGGGGUAGAGCACUGACAAGGCUAGGGGGCACACCCGCUUACCAAACCUUAUCAAACUCCGAAUACCGUGCAAUGGAACGUGGCAGUGAGACAGUGGGGGAUAAGCUUCAUUGUCGAGAGGGAAACAACCCAGACCAGCAGCUAAGGUGCCUAAAUAACGCUGAGUGGAAAGGAUGUGGGAUUACACAGACAGUGAGGAUGUUGGCUUAGAAGCAGCCACCAUUUAAAAAAUGCGUAAUAGCUUACUCAUCGAGUGAUCCUGCGCCGAAAAUGAUUGGCGAUCAAGCGUUAUACCGAAGCUCUGGACUUUGCCGCAAGGCAGAGUGGUAGAAGAGCGUUGCAUGCGCAUUGAAGGGUGAUGGCGACUGACCCUGGAGCGCAUGCAAGUGAGUAUGCAGACAUGAGUAACGUAAAGCCGGGUGAAAUCCCCGGCCGCCGUAAACCCGAGGUUUCCAGGGCAACGUGUUUCGUCCCUGGGUUAGCCGGGACCUAAGCCGAGGCCGAGAGGCGUAGGCGAUGGAUAUCAGGUUAAUAAUCCUGAGCUCGCGACCCUUAAACUGGGGGGACGCAUGAGAAGAGAUGACCAGGUUAUUGAAUUCCGAGCUGGGUCCACGGACCCAGCGCAUCAUCAAAUCGAGUGCCAAGAAAAGCCCCAGCGUAUGCUAAGCGACCCGUACCGCAAACCGACACAGGUGGGUGGGUAGAAUAUACCAAGGCGUAAGAGUGAAACCUGGUUAAGGAACUCGGCAAAUUAGCCCCGUAACUUCGGAAGAAGGGGUGCCUGCAGCGAUGCAGGCCGCAGAGAAAUGGCCCAACCGACUGUUUAUCAAAAACACAGCACUCUGCAAAGACGCAAGUCGAAGUAUAGGGUGUGACACGUGACCAAUGCCGAAAGAUUAAGGCAAGGGGUUAGCCGCAAGGCGAAGCUCUGAACCCAAGUCCCGGUGAAUGUCGGCCGUAACUAUAACGGUCCUAAGGUAGCGAAAUUCCUUGUCGGGUAAGUUCCGACCUGCACGAAUCGUGAAACGAGUUGGGCACUGUCUCAACCAGGCGCUCAGUGAAAUUGUAGUGGCGGUGAAGAUGCCGCCUACCCGCAGAAGGACGGAAAGACCCUAUAGACCUUAACUGUAAGCUGUCAUUGUUUCUUCGGUUUUAAUGCUCAGAGUAAGUGGGAGACGCUGAAGAUGCCCUUUAGGGGGCAUCCGAGUCAUCAAUGAGACACCACCCUUUGAAACUGGAGGAUCUAACCCUGAGCCGUGAAUCCGGCCAGAGGACCGUGUCAGCCGGUCAGUUUUACUGGGGCGGUAUCCUCCCAAAGAGUAACGGAGGAGCGCGAAGGUGGGCUCAGCCCGGUUGGCAACCGGGUGUCGAGUGCAUGGGCAUAAGCCCGCCUAACUGUGAGACCAACAAGUCGAGCAGAUGCGAAAGCAGGCCCAAGUGAUCCGGCGGUAGAAAGUGGAAUUGCCGUCGCUCAACGGAUAAAAGGUACCUUAGGGAUAACAGGCUGAUCACGCCCAAGAGUUCAUAUCGACGGCGUGGUUUGGCACCUCGAUGUCGGCUCGUCGCAUCCUGGGGCUGGAGAAGGUCCCAAGGGUUCGGCUGUUCGCCGAUUAAAGCGGCACGCGAGCUGGGUUCAG